UGAUUCAGUUGUUAGACCUACAACUUAUUAGUCUUUGCCAAGGAUCACAAUUAACAUUCACAUAUACAUAUAUAUAUUUGAGGAGUCUGAGUAUGAUCAUACCUGAGGACGUCAUGAUACAAGCAACAAAACAGCAACACAUAGAGUCUUCUACUCACUGAGGAACCUGAUAUCAAAACCCUAGCGAUAGUUCUAGAUCUUGUUUUUGAUGUAAUCUUCCCGUGAGCAGGGACACCUCCUGUAUAGGCUUAUAAACCCAACUGCAUCCCAACUAUCGUGGGAUCGUCUAACCCUAAAAAAUCUCCACGUUUGUCAGUUGUUAAACCACAACUGAAGCGCGCAUUUAGUGUCCUACAAAUAAGGGAUUUUAUCCUUUAAAUGGUUUUGACUUUAAAUAAUUAAUUCCACGUAUGAUAGUCCUUAUUAUGCCCAAUGAUAAUUCAAUAGAGUCCUAACAUUCUCCCACUUGAAUUAUCACUGAUCAUAUCCUUUAUCAACGUAUUAAUCCCUUAGUGAUCACUUUUGUCAACACAACCAUUAAUCCCUUUGCAUAUCUGCCAUAAAUUAUUUCAAAGAAAUGAACCUUAGAAAAUCUUAUACAUCAACUCGUACAAGCACCCUAAGAUCACAUCACCCAAAAUAAUUUAUGCAUGAUAUAAUUACCGAAACAAAUUCAAAACUUUGUUUCCAUGCUCCCACUGAUCAGAGCAGUCCACCAUUGUCAAGCUUUUGUUUAGCUCCAAUGGAAUGCUUAUAAUACCAAGCACAUUUAGUCCGAAUCUUUCAUCAGUCCACAACAUUUCAAUAUAUUGCAUACAUAUAUUUGUACAUAUAUACAAUAGCUGAAAUGAAACCUCAACCAUUAACAUGGUCAAAUUCAAGAGUACAUGAAUUCAAGCUUUAUUUAUUUCAUUUUAUUUUUAUUUUUUUUAACAAAAGAUGAAAUCAAAUGAAAGAUAACCCUUACUUCCAUACGGUAGCUGAAUCAAAGGAUUCAACCACGCCCAUGUUUGCCACAUGAUUCUUGAAAACUCCCACUGCCAACGGUUUUGUAAGGGGAUCAGCCAACAUUAAAGUAGUGUCAAUGUGUUCUAUAGACACCAUUCCCGCCUUCACCUUCUCCUUGACUGAUUGAUACUUGACAUCCAUUAAUCGAGCUGCAUAAGAUUUCUUGUUGUUUUUAGAGAAGAACACAACAGCUUUAUUGUCACAAUAUAUUACAAGUGGCUUCGCAAUUGUGUCAACUAUCCUCAUUUCUGAAAUAAGAUUCUUCAACAUCAUGGCUUGUUGGGUUGCUUCAAAACAUGAAAUAUAUUCUGCCUGCAUUGUUGAAGUAGCCAAAGUUUUCUGCUUUGCACUUCUCCAAGAAAUAGCACCUCCAGCCAUUAGAAAAACAUACCCACUCGUUGAUCUUCGAUCAUCCUCACAUCCCGCAAAAUCUGAGUCACAAUGACCAAUCACUUCCAACCUUUCAAUCCUACCAUAUACUAACAUGUAGGAUUUGGUCCUUUGCAAGUAUCGAACAACCUUCUUGGCGGCAGUCCAAUGAUAUUCCCCUGGGUUUGCUUGGAAUCUCCCAAGCACACUAACUGCAAAAGCCAAAUCCGGCCUCGUGCAAACUUGUGCAUACAUUAAACUUCCAACAAGUGAAGCAUGGGGUCUGUUGGACAUGCUUUGCUUUUCAAUAUCAUUCUGAGGACAUUGAGAUUUGUUAAACUUGUCUCCUUUGCUCAUUGGGGCUUCACCUUUUGCACAACUCUCCAUAUUGAAUCUUUUCAGGACCUUUUCUAUGUAAGAUUUCUGCGAGAUCCCUAGUAAGCACCUUUUCCUGUCCCUAAUUAUUUCUAUUCCAAGCACGAAAGUAGCAUCACCCAUGUCUUUCAUUUCGAAAGUAUUUGACAGCAACCUUUUGGUAUCUAUCAGCAAGUUUAGAUCAUUACUUGCUAACAAAAUAUCAUCGACAUACAAGACAAGGAAAAUAAACUUGGAACCACACACUUUGAGAUACAAACAGUCAUCGAUUUUGUUCUCAACAAAUCCAAAACCAGUGAAUUUUUCAUCAAACUUCAUAAACCAUUGUCUCGAUGCUUGUUUCAACCCGUAGAUCGAUUUCCUUAGUUUGCAUACCAUGUGCUCAUUGUUCUCUUUAACGAAACCAGGUGGUUGUACCAUGUGAAUAUUUUCAUCGAGAACUCCAUUAAGGAACGCCGUUUUAACGUCCAUUUGGUGAAGCUCAAGAUCAAAAUGUGCAACUAGGGCAAGAAUGACUCGGAGUGAGUCUUUUGAUGAAACUGGGGAGAAUGUGUCCGAGUAAUCCAAACCCUCCUUUUGUGUGUAACCCUUUGCAACCAGCCUCGCUUUAUACCUUUCAACUGCCCCACUAGAGUCCCUUUUUGUCUUAAAAACCCAUUUGCAUCCUAUGGGUUUUAUAUAUUCGUCUCUUUCCACCAAUUCCCAAACUUCAUUGAAGUACAUCGAAUCCAUUUCGUCCUUCAUUGCAGCCUUCCAGUCAUUAGCUUUAUCACAAUUAAUUGCUUGAUUGUACGUGAUUGGAUCAUUGUCAAUUCCUUCCUCAUGCUCAACCUCUCCCACAUAUACUAAGUAGUCAUUCGAGAAUGGAGACCUUCUACUUCUUUGUGACUGCCUCCUUUGCACUGGAACUUGCUGCAUGGUGAUUUGUUGAGCAUUAUCUUGCAUUUCUAAUAUUUGUGGCUGCACGUCUACCAAUUCAUGCUGAUCCAUGCAAUCAACAUGGCUUAGAAUUCCCACGUCCCCAAAAUCAAUUGUGUCAGCAUGCAUUGGAGUUUCUUUGAAAGAUGACGAACUAAUCAAAUCUUCUUCUUCAAAAACCACUUCUUUCAAACCUUCAUUGCUAGAUUGUUGAUCUUCAAUGAACCUAGCAUUAUUAGUUUCAAAAAUCCUUGUGGAUAAACUCGGUGAGAAGAAUCUGUACCCUUUUGAUUUUUCUGGAAAACCAAUGAAAUGGCAAGUCACUGUUCUUGAAUCAAGCUUCCUUUCUGUUGGAUUAUACAUUUUUGCCUCUGCCAAACAGCCCCACACAUGAAGAUGGUUGAGGCUUGGCUUCCUCGAUGUCCACAACUCAAAAGGAGUUUUAUUCACUGAUUUGCUCGGUACACGGUUUGAAAUAUAGUUUGCCAUCUUAAGUGCUUCUCCCCACAAGAACAUUGGAAGAUUGGUCCUGCUCAUCAUGCAUCUUACCAUUUCUUUCAAAGUUCUAUUCCUUCUCUCGGCCACACCGUUUUGUUGUGGUGUGCCGGGAGUAGUGUACUGAGCUUGUAUGCCAUUUUCCUCCAAGUAUCUUGCCAUUGGACCUUUUGUUGCCCUUCCUCAGUGUACCUGCCAUAAUACUCUCCACCACGGUCCGACCUCAAAAUUUUAAUUGAUGUUUCUAGUUGCUUUUCUACCUCAUUUUGAUAUGUUUUAAAACAACUAGCCACUUCAUUUUUCUCGGAUAUUAAGUAAACAUAAGCAUACCGAGAAAAAUCAUCAAUAAAAGUCACAAAAUAGACAUUUUUGCAAAUGGUUUUAGUGGGGAAAGGACCACAAACAUCUGAAUGAAUUAUUUCCAAGAGUUUUUACUCCUUGUUGAUCCAAUUUUCUUUGUGUUUGUUAAUUUACCCUUCCAACAAUCAACACAGUUUUGCAGGUCAAUAAAGUUUAACCUUGGCAGUAUGUUCUCUUUAACUAGAAGUUCCAAUCUCUUUUGACUUAUGUGUCCGAGCCUCCUAUGCCAAAGCAUAGAGGACUUUUCAUUAACCAAAGAUCUUUUACUUUUAAGAACUGUUGACACUUGCAUGCAAUUUGGAAUUGUAACAACAUCACAAUGUAAUCUCCAUAAAUCAUUUUCCAACAAACAAAUACCAAGUAAAAGAUUGAGAUUACAUUUCUUGAAAAUCCUUAUACUUUCAUCGUCGCCAAUGAAAGCAUAACCAGUCUUUACAAGCUUGGAAGCUGAAAUUAAAUUUCUAGUUAAACUAGGAACAUAAAGAACAUCUAACAAUUCUAAUUCGAAAUUAGUUGACAACUUGAGCUUUAGAGUGCCUAUUGCCUCCACAGCCACUUUAUUUCCAUUUCCUACGUGAACUUCAUAGACUUCAUUUCUUGCAAAUUCCCUUCUUGUGAAUCCCUGCAAUGAAUUGGUAAUAUGCACCGAACAACCAGUGUCAAAACCACCAAGAAUUUGGAGGGACUUCAACAAGAUUGAUAUUAACACAAACAAAAACAUUUUCAGUUUUAUUACCUGUUUUAUUUCCCCACUUCUUACGUUUUGGACAGUCCCUUUUGAAAUGACCAUAUUCCUUGCAAAAAUAACACUUAACCUUUUCCAUAUCCACCCUAAAACCUUGAGGUCCCUUUGAGGAGAGAGUAUUAUUUCCAGCAGAGUGAGAAAAGUUAAAGGGUUUGCUUGGCUUACCAGAAAACACAUCGUGCUUCUUUCCUUUGUCUGUGCUCACCACAUUGACAACCUCUUGUUUUCCUCGUUUCAUCCUUGCCUCCUCUUGGACACAGAUUGAAAUCAAAUCAUUCAAACUCCAUUUUUCUUUCUGAGCAUUGUAGGAUGUCUUCAACUGCUCAUAACUCUCAGGAAGAGAGUUAAGAGCCAUAUGAACCACAAAAGAGUCAUCAAUAGGCACUUCAAGAUCACUGAGCUUUGCCGCUGCCUCCACCAUUUUCAGUAUGUGCUCCCUAACUGUGUGACUUUCAUCAAAUUUCAGAGUAGUCAGGAUUGUCAUGAGGUUUCCUAUCUCUCCUUUCUCAGAGACCUUGAACUUUGCCUCAAUGCCUUCAAGGAAAUUCUUUGCUUUGUCACUGGCAGGUAGUCCCCCUCUCACAGCUUCCCCAAUUGAUCUUUUUAUCACAAGUAAUGCCAUGCGAUUAGCUUUUUCCCAUUUUUCAAAUUUCAACCUUUGAGCAGCUGUGCUAGUUGCAUCCACUGGUGCUGGCUCAUCUUCUCUAAGUGCCAAAUCGUAGUCCAUCAGUCCCAAAAUAAUCUCAACAUCUUGUCUCCAUUUUUUGUAAUUUCCUCCAUUGAGCGGCUCGAUAGAGGAAAAAUUCAGGGACAUGGGAUUCACUGAGGACGUCAUUAAUUUGUUAGUGAAACAAACAAUGAAAAUUGCAUGCAGUACAAGGUAACACCUUUGGGCAAGAAACUCUUUACUACAAGUUUCAUUGACAUAGCUACUUAAUUUAAUAUUAAACAUCUUCAUAACUCGAGUCUUUGGACAAGAAUUAGAUCAAUUUAAUAUCAAAAUAACCACUAUGCCCUAAUUCACUUAAUCGAACCAUUCAUAUAUUCCCUUUUUGAAGAGAGCAGUAUGUAUGUUAUGAUAAAUGAAUUACAAUGUCCUGCGACCUAAUUCAUGCAACAAUGCUUGACAAAAUCCCAUUUUGAUGUGAUCUUCUAAGCAUUUGUGCAUCGGUGCAAAGUCUUGUUCCCUUAAAAAUCUUCAACUGAGGAUUAUAUGUGAUAUGUUUAAACUAAAAAACAGUUUUGAAUCCAAGUAGACUAACCUUGCUCUGAUACCAAAUGUUAGACCUACAACUUAUUAGUCUUUGCCAAGGAUCACAAUUAACAUUCACAUAUACAUAUAUAUAUUUGAGGAGUCUGAGUAUGAUCAUACCUGAGGACGUCAUGAUACAAGCAACAAAACAGCAACACAUAGAGUCUUCUACUCACUGAGGAACCUGAUAUCAAAACCCUAGCGAUAGUUCUAGAUCUUGUUUUUGAUGUAAUCUUCCCGUGAGCAGGGACACCUCCUGUAUAGGCUUAUAAACCCAACUGCAUCCCAACUAUCGUGGGAUCGUCUAAGCCUAAAAAAUCUCCACGUUUGUCAGUUGUUAAACCACAACUGAAGCACGCAUUUAGUGUCCUACAAAUAAGGGAUUUUAUCCUUUAAAUGGUUUUGACUUUAAAUAAUUAAUUCCACGUAUGAUAGUCCUUAUUAUGCCCAAUGAUAAUUCAAUAGAGUCCUUUCAGUGUCUUG
rnacentral:lncRNA from 1 species